CACAUAUAUGAACACCAGAUUUAGCAUUACAUAUAAACAGCAGCACACAAUCUGAAAACAAAUUUAAAUGAAAGAAUGCACUUUUAAACAAAUUCAAAUACAAAUACAAAUUCCCAUGAUGUAUUAUAUGUACCGUGUACAGAGGGUUUAAAGUCACAUAAUUGUGUGUGCCCAUGGGAGAUACGAGGUGAGAGCGAGGCCUUAAAAACCUCAGUGCACCUGGUUUCAAUAAACAUAGGCAAAACAUACAAGGCACAUUUCUAAGAAAAAAAAAAACAUAAUGAAGCAUUGGAGGAACCUCAAGGAGAAGCUGCAAGUCAUUUUUCUAAGAACGUAAAUGAAAAUCCUCUUUAUUCUAUGUUUAUUACUAUAGAUGGUAAUUACAGAGCAGUUAAAUCUAUUUAUCCAUGCUAAAAGUUUAUUUAUACACAAGAAGAGUAUCACCCUAUACUUAUCCUCUUAGCAUAUUUAGAAACUUAGAAAAUGACACUAAAUCAAUCUGAAAUGCAUAAUACCUGGUUUAAACAAUAAGAAAAAUGUUUUCAUCUUCCACAGCAUGCCAGUGGUCAUACUACCAUGGUAAAAAAAAAAACAUUGUGAGAUACAUAGGAUACAAAAGAAUUAGAAGUUGAAAACAAUCUAAUGUAACAAAAGGAUAACAUAGCAAAAAGGCCUGCUGAACAAUUUUGUGAACAAGCUGAUGCAACACAAUAACAAGACCUUCAGCCACAACAGUACCCAUUAAACCUUAAAGGAACACAGAGGGAAGCCUGUGAUACUAUCUGACACACACACACACACACACACACACACACACACACAAACACCUCCUUCACAAACAUGGCAAUUACAGAGGCAUGUUAAACACAGGGCUUAAGUUUGCUGAGAGGACAUCAAAGUGCACUGUGUAAAGUGACUGAUCCUGAACAUGCAUCCUGCUCACUCUUAACAUGAUUGUGCUCCUUUACUCCUCUCACCGCAGAAACAAAAACCAAGACUGGGAAAAAUACGGGGUGGGGACAGUAGGUGUAAGCCCCUCCUCAUGGCUGUAACAGAGUGAAAGAGGAGAAGAGAAAAUGAGCGAGAGGGAGGAGAGGUGGAAUUCACCGGAGCUGCGAAACAGACUUAUGACAGUUAUGACAGAGAGUGGACGGGUGUAAGGCAGUGAGCUCUCCUUCUGCAUUCAUCAAGCUCAUCUGCAGCACAUCAGUUAAGCUCAUCAGCUAAGCAGAGAUGGAAGCAAAGAGUUCUGAUAUGCUGCUAAUGUGAUCGAUCGAUCCACAAUAAAGAAGAAAGGCAGAAAAAGGGAAUCUCCAUGGUCUACCUUUACAAGUGUAUUCCCGCCUCACACCCAGUGUUUCUGGGAUAGGCUCCAGAUCCACGGCAACCCAGACCAGGAUAAAGUGGUUACUGAAAGUGAGUGAAUAGUCAUACUCGAUGAGAUGGGUGAAAUGUAUGAUUGCUAGCAAUCAUACAGCUAGCCAUUGUCUCAAUCUAAGAUUUUUUUUAGCAGUAGCGUCUUUAUCUACUGCAAUUAUACCAAGCAUAGAAUAAAUGUCUUCACUUCAUUCAAGUAUUAAAGUUAGGAAAAUCACUGAGUAUAUGUAGCUAACUAUAAGUGAUCUUAUAGUGGCUUCUGUAAUAUUCAUUAGUUCACAAGAUAGCCAUGUUGAUAUUCCAUAAAUGAACAUGUAAAUGUUGUAAAUGUGUUGCAUUUCUAAAUGUAUGCUAUCAAUACAUUAAUUUACAUUUAUUAAUUAACUGCAAAACAAGUAGUAUAAUGUACAAACAUUUAUUUUCAUUUCAAACAUAUUCCACUUGCUGUAGCUACAAUGAAAAUUGAAUUGAAUUUUCAGUCAUGAAAUGUCUUUAAUCAGUGCAACAAUUUAUGUCCAGGCACUGUUGUGCGAAACACAAUGUCACAACCAAUAGGCAACAAAACUCAAAAGCCAACAGUCCUAGUGUGCUAGUGUACUCACACUUUCAACACUACACAAUUCCCAAUAAUUUAUACUAACUCCACAACUGCAAGUUUGCCUAUAUGGAUACACAUCCCUGAACACACUGUGCUUCUGUUUCAAUUUUUUUCUUCUUUUGCAGGAGAGACAAAACACUAAAUUAGGAGCAGUCAACAUGACAGUCUCUGGUAAGAAUCAAGCAGCUGUGGAGUAGUAUCUCGGUUACAGCCUUACAAAUCACACAGCUGAUGAAUGGCUACUAAUUGUGUGGUUAAAAUUAUUUUUAAAGUGCGUCAAAUGUGAUAAAGUACCUGAACUUUUCUGAAUUUCAAACGCAUGUUUGCAAUUAUUGUAACUCUCCCCAAAUUAAAGCCAGACAUUUGAGACAAAUCUGGAAAAGAUGUAUAUAUUUUAUGCAGAAUUCAAAAUAUAACUCUGACAAAAGUAAGUCCUUUCAUGAAACAAGUGAAAAGGCAAUCUGGAACUGGUUUACAAACUAUGCCAAACCAUAUGUCCACACACACACACACACACACUCACAGCUUCUCUUCCUAGAGAACUAAGACUACCUAAUAAACUAAACAGAAAACUCUACUUUGACAUUGUUAUAUAUGACAGUCAACGUCACCCUGCAAAGACAAACACUGUAGCCCAGUUGGCACGACUGAAGUGACAAGAGGUAACAUUUUCAGUUUCCAAAUGCUCAAUUCAAAUACAUUCCACAACUUAACUUACAGGGUCCAUGAUAAUGCAAUGGGACACACUGCUACUAGAAAGCUGUUUAGGUUGUAAUCUGAUGAUUGAGACAGAUCGAAAAGGUAAGUGUGUGUAAUCUGGUUUAUGAUCCCUCUUUUACACUCCUCAAUGAUUCACAGUGUAAUACACAGAACUGGCUAUAAUCAACAUGACAAAUAAAGCAAGACACACUGCUACUACACUUGAAUAAAGCACGAAUCAUUACUACCACAUUUUACCAUAUCCAGCGAAAUGCCUGUUGAUUUUUCUUAGAGUUCAUGAUGUUGGUGUCUCAGGAUGUGUUAUAAAACAGCUUUCAAUGCAAACCCUCAUCAGCAUCCCUUCACCAUUUCUUUUGGGGUAAUCCAUAUCAGUGUUUUAAUGAUCAUUUCAAUGCUUUUGCACAAAGAUUAUUAGAUCAGCCGUUGGGGUUACAGGGGGAUCAAUUCAUUAGGCAUUAAAAAAGAGCUCUUUCAAUUUUCUCCCUAAUUUGUUCUUGGCCAAUUCCCACCCACCUGCCAGUUCUCCCCAUCAUAUAACAGCUACUAGCCAGUGAGGAUUAAAUGCUACUCCCUCCAAGAAAUAAGACAUCAUUUCAAACUGCUGCUCAUGCUGCAUCACAGGGCAGUGUAAUAUACUUGGAGGAAACAGCUAUCUACCCUCUUCCCCAUACAUGUACUCAUAGCCACUCACAAUUGGCUAGCUUGAUUGACAGAGUACAGAGAGUAUUCCAUCCCUUCCACCCUGAGAGAAAGCGAAUGCUUAUCUGGUGUAUUUGUGUUUUGCUAUGUUCAAAUUGGGUUUUAUGUAGCCAACUAUUUAGUCUAUGAAUGACAGCUAAAAUUUUCAUUACUUUGUUGUCCUAGCUAGUUAGCAUUCUAGCUAGUUAGUUAACCGACACCAAUCUGUAACAUUACUUGGUUGAAAGGGAUCUAAAUGCACAAAUUUCCAACACAACUGAUUCAACUACAUGCAAGGACAAGUGUAUUCGAAGCGCAAACUCCAUUCCCUGCUACACCCUCCUUGCCUUGUGCUGCUAGUGGCCACUGAUGAUAUACUUUUCCAAAGCCAGGAGAAGAAGCUGACAACAGUGUGCUAAAACAUUGUAACACAUGGGUGAUUAACAUAUACUACCCUGUAGUUAUUCUAUUAUUAAGCUGCUUGGUGAUUAAAGGAUACUUCAGGUAGCUGGUUCCUCAGACAACUGAUAGCAUCUAUCAUACAGAACAGGGUACACAGAUGUUUUUGUUCUGGUCUGAGCCUUGCUGAAGUCUGACACCUGCUCCACAUGUGUCUCAUUAACACAUUCCUCCAAGCUGAGAAUUCUCUAUUUAUUCUGUCUCGUUUACGAACACAUGACAUGGGGAUGCUAUUCAUCUCCUCUUUAUUAGGAUGCUGCAUUUAUUUAGCUUCACUGGUCUUUGGCUAUAUGGUAUGGCUAAGAUGUGAUGUUAGCUAUGCAGGAGUUCUAAAAGAGGUAAGUAGUCCAUGGGUUUGCAUGUUGGAAAUAAAUGAAACACAAUUUAUUACAUAUAAGAGUCCUUCAAAUGAAUAACAUAUUGGAUUUAUGUACAUAUAAAUGUUUUUAUAUAAAGAAACAGCUGAAAUAAACUAUAAUUUUGGGUUGGUGGUAAUGAUUUUCUAAUGCACUUUCAAAAUAUAUUGACUUGACAUUGUCACUGAAUUUUUAGAUGUGACUUUUUCAUAUUUUUCAAUUAUGCACUGAAGCAGGUUUGGAUCUAUGUGAAGAGCUGUCUCAGACACAGACAUGCUGGUAUUUCCUCCCCAUCUGUGCACCAGCAGUAGUCACUUCACACACACUUCAAGUAGAAACAGACCAGGCAGGUAAUUGUGGUGCAUAGAACGAAAUACUGGGAAGAAGUCGGUAUAAUAAUUCCUUCAUCACAACUAAGGAUGCUACUAUUAGAAUACUGAACCUCAGCAAAGUAAUGUUUGUAGCUCUCAGAUCUCAAUUCUAGAUCUACAUGAGACAAGAAGAGACAACAAUGUCUUCAGAACUUGUUUUUGACUUAAAUAGGUAUCAGUAGUUUUUAUACCACAGGGCUUUUGAAUUCUCAAUCCUGAUUGGUCAGGAGAGCAUGAUUAAUUUUUCUAGUACUGCCGACUGCAUGGCAAAUCACAAGUUUAUAUUAAUAUGUUUGUUCUAAUACAUUACACAGUGACUUGUGUGGCAGAUGCUCCACAUAAACAGAUUUUUUUAAGUGUAAUCAUUGAUAUGGUCAAGCUUUCUGUAAGGACAUGUGUAUUUAGCAUUUCUGGAAGGAGUCUCCAGUGUCAAGCUUCUCCUGAAGGUUUUCCACCAAGAGACAGUCUUCAGGAUGGAGAGUUUUGUUUUGGUUUCACUGUAACAUGACAUGAUUUUUUUUUGUCUUAUUGACUUCAAGCAAACGAAAAAGAGAGGCUGGUGAGGGAACGACUGUUAACAGCUGCUACAGCGUAAGUGAUAACAGGAACUAACAUUAACAUUAAACAUGACUAUAAUAAAACAAUCAUUAGCUUUGUGGUAUACGAGAAAUAAAACACUGUCAGACAUACUUUUAUAGGAAAAGAAUCAACUUUGGGGUAGUAACACUAACUCUUGUGUUUUAUUCCUUACACAGUUAAACAGUAAGUGGAAUAAUGUAGACUAAAUGGCGUAAUGUUUGAUUGUUUGAACAAACUGUCACAGGAUGAAAGCCCAUUCUAAAUAUUUCCAGAUUACAAUCUCAUUCUACUUGUAUUCUGACACAAUGCCAAGGAAAGUUUUCUUUCAUGUCUUUUACCUUUCCAACUGUUCAGUUGUGCUUCAAAGCUCAUCGGAAAGCUCAUUUGGAUUUAUAUGUUAUGGGGCAACUUUAAGAAUGUUAUAUGUACAAAUUCCUUUGUACUUUAAUAAACCUUUAAUAUGCAUAUGUAUAAUCAUUUAUUCAAAUUAUUUAAGUGAAAGCAGAGAGUGGUUUGUGGUUUGCUAUUACUACCUGUUGGUUGCUUAAGUGAAUUUCUUACAUCACUGUAUAGAGAAUUUUUACAAUUUAAUCUUUAUAUGACUUAUAAAGAAAUAAAGAUUGGUGAGUGUGA